UGGGAUAGCUCAGUCGGUAGAGCACGAGACUCCUGAUCUCAGGGUUGUGGGUUCAAGCUCCACACUGGGCAAAA